rnacentral:rRNA from 1 species
UACAGAGGUCCCAAGCGUUGUUCGGAUUCACUGGGCGUAAAGGGUACGUAGGUGGCCGGGUAAGUCUGACGUGAAAUCUCCAAGCUCAACUUGGAAACUGCGUCGGAUACUAUCCGGCUAGAGGAUCGGAGGGGAGACUGGAAUACUUGGUGUAGCAGUGAAAUGCGUAGAUAUCAAGUGGAACACCAGUGGCGAAGGCGAGUCUCUGGACGAUUCCUGACACUGAGGCACGAAAGCCAGGGGAGCAAACGGG